CAUAAACGACUCUCGGCAACGGAUAUCUCGGCUCACGCAUCGAUGAAGAACGUAGCAAAAUGCGAUACUUGGUGUGAAUUGCAGAAUCCCGUGAACCAUCGAGUUUUUGAACGCAAGUUGCGCCCGAAGCCUUUUGGCUGAGG
rnacentral:rRNA from 1 species